GACGAACGCUGGCGGCGUGCCUAAUACAUGCAAGUCGAACGCUGAAGGAGGAGCUUGCUUCUCUGGAGGAGUUGCGCACGGGUGAGUAACGCGUAUGUAAACUGCCUGGUAUAGGGGGGUAACACUUGGAAACGAUAUCUAUAAUCGCAUAAUAGUAUAUGUUGCAUGAAAUUUUCUUAUAAAUGGGAAUUUUGUUCCAACAAAAUGGACCUGCGUGUUAUUAGCUAGGUUGUGAGGUAACGGCUCACCAAGGCGACGAUACAUAGCCGACCUGAGAGGGUGAUCGGCACCACUGGGACUGAGACACGGCCCAGACUCCUACGGGAGGCAGCAGUAGGGAAUCUUCGGCAAUGGACGGAAGUCUGACCGAGCAACGCCGCGUGAGUGAAGAAGGUUUUCGGAUCGUAAAGCUCUGUUGUAAGAGAAGAACGAGUGUGAGAGUGGAAAGUUCACACUGUGACGGUAUCUUACCAGAAAGGGACGGCUAACUACGUG
rnacentral:rRNA from 1 species